rnacentral:lncRNA from 1 species
AAACAAAAUGAUAUACAGGAAAGCCAACAGACAAGGACAGCAUACAUCUUUAUUUGACUCCAUUAAUGUUGCGUCAAUAUGACAAUGCAACAGAUCCUCUCCAACCUGGCAUUUCUUCAUUUGUUGAUGAAUAUUUAUAAGUAAUAACCUGAAUAAUAAUAAUAAUAAUAAUAACCCCCCCCGGUUAUUUUCUUACCGAAUGAUGAGGAUCCCAUAGCACUGAAUCCUUGGACUGGAGUUCCUGGGCUUCCAAAGGGGACAGGACCUGCAGCUGUGCUCUGGCCAAAAGCAGGGGUAGCCAUCCCUGUACCAAAGUUGAAGCCUGGCGUCUGUGUUGUGGGGUUAGAGGUUCCAAACUGAGUGCCUGAAAUGGCUGCGCCGAAGUUGAAUCCUCCAGUGGCUGGCUGGGCAGGGGUAGCAGGGGCCUGCUGUGUGGACACACCACCAAACGAGAAAGUUGGGGCGGAGGCUGGGAGUAUGCCGACAGUCUGGGUGGCAGAGCCAAAGGCCGGGGCUGCUGGGGUGCCCGUGGUGUUGCCAAAUGCAAAACCUGUGGAGUUUGCUCCAAAUGCCAGCUUAGUGGUGGUCCCAAAGGUAGAGGCCGCCGUAGUGGCAGCCGCGCCAAAAGCAAAAGGAGCAGGGGUGGCCCCAGUGGCAGGUGACCCAAAUGUGAAAGGAUUAGCUGCCGCAGUAGCAGCCGGGGCCUGAAUCGCACUGGGGAACGCCGAUGCCGCCGGAGCUUCGAACGACGACUUCCCAAACGUGAAAGUGGACUGGUUUGCAGGUGCAGAAGCAGUAGCAGUGGCUGCGGCUGCAGUGGCCAUGCCAAAGCCACCGAAGGAUGCGGUGGUAGAGUUCUGGGUGGCUACAGGCUGGCCAAAGGUGAAUCCCCCCUGGGCGGUGGCUGAGGGGGCAGGUUGAGUGGCGCCAGAGGUGGUGGUCAUCGCACCAAACGAAAAGCCGCUGUUGCUAGUGGUGGCGGCUGUGGUGGAGCUGAGGGUGGGUCCAGGAGCUGUGGUGGAGGCGGUGCCGAACUGGAAGGUACUUCCUGUGGCAGGGGCAGUGGUUGUGGCAGCAGUCGUUGCAGGCAGCGCACUCCAGUUUCCAAACAGAGACUUGACAGAUGGCGGGGCGGCUGGGUUGGUGGAGGGGGCGGUGCUAUUAGACAGCCCAGUGAACAGGGAGGCGGCUGGGGCCACUGUACUACUGUUGGUUAGCCUGCUGAACACUGUGGCAGAUGCACUGGCAUUGGAGGGGGCUGAGGUGGAGGCUGGCUGUCCGAAAGCACUGGUGGCUGUGGCACUUCCAAAUAUGGGUUUAAAGGUGGGAAGAGCAGGUGUGCCCUCUGAGGCUGGGGCCGUGGCCCCGAAGAUGGGCUUGAACACCGAGGCCAGGAGGGGAUUAUUACUACUGGUUGUUUCUGUGGUGGCGGUUGUGGUUGUGGUGGGGGCCGGUGAGGAGGACGGGGCAGUCAGUGGAUUGGCCAUUCCAAACAGGCUUGCUCCACCCAGGAUGGGGACACUGCUGGGGGCCUUGGUGACUUGGCUCAGCGCCUGGGUGAAGGCAGAGGGCAUGGUGCUGGCAGGCUGGGAGAGGGAGGGUAGUGCAGGCUGGGAGAGGGAGGGUAGUGCAGGCUGGGAGAGGGAGGGUAGUGCAGGCUGGGAGAGGGA